rnacentral:rRNA from 1 species
GACGAACGCUGGCGGAGUGCCUAAUACAUGCAAGUAGGACGCAGUUGCGAACGGGUGAGUAACGCGUCGGUAACUGCCUAUUAGAGGGGGAUCACUAUUGGAAACGCUAGCUAAUACCGCAUAAUAGUAGAUGGAUCUGCGGUGUAUUAGCUAGGAGGUAGGGUAAUGGACUACCUAGGGGACGAUACAUCGCCGACCUGAGAGGGUGAUCGGCCAAACUUGGACUGAGAAACGGCCCCGACUCCUCCGGGAGGCAGCAGUAGGGAAUAUUCGGCAAUGGGGGGAACCCUGACCGAGCAACGCCGCGUGAGUGAAGAAGGUUUUCGGAUCGGACAGCUCUGUUGUUAAGGAAGCGGUACUUAACCAGAAAGGGACGGCUAACUACGUGCCAGCAGCCGCGGUAAUAC